CGCGCAGGCGGUCGAGUCAGUCGAAUGUGAAAGCCCCCGGCUCAACUGGGGAGGGUCAUUCGAUACUGCUCGACUCGAAGGCAGGAGAGGGAAGCGGAAUUCCCGGUGUAGUGGUGAAAUGCGUAGAUAUCGGGAGGAACACCAGUGGCGAAGGCGGCUUUCUGGCCUGUUCUUGACGCUGAGGCGCGAAAGCUAGGGAGCAAACG
rnacentral:rRNA from 1 species